UCCCCCAGGGAGGGGCGGGUGGGAGCAGCGGGGGCUAGGAGGGCUCUCCUUGGUGUGGCAGGCAAAAGGUAGAGCCCAGAGACCCCGACAGCUUAGGGCAUCAGAGACCUCUCUUCGGCCUGAGAAUAUAGAUUCUGCUAUGUUUCUCAUUUAGGGGUUAAGACCAAGAGGGCAAAAGACAUCAUUCCAUAAGGCCCCUCCCUGGCCCCUGAAAGGAGAUGGGGGUGAGGGGCGGGACAUCCCCCACUCAGGCCGUGAAGCAGGCUGCGCCUCGGGAUGCUGCCCUCCCACUGGGCAGGGGCACCGCGAGACCACACAUACUUGAGCUCCUGAGCAAUUGCUGCGAUUUGCUCCACGCGGUCCUGGUGGGCGGCCAGGUCACUCUCAAAGGCCUCGUGCUUGCGAAUGAGAGCUUUAAUAUCCGACAGGGUGGCCGUCUCAUAGUCCCGCUGCUUCAGCAUGGCUUCCUUCCCUGGGGGCAGGCAGAGGGCAGGAGGUGUUUAGACAACAGGGCCGCGGGAGUUCAGAGGGCUGUCCAGCCCCAGAAAACGGGGUACAGACUCCACAUCCUGCCUCACGAGGAUGGUGCUGUGAAGACUAGAAACCCCCAGAACUGUUUUCCUUGCCUUUUCAAGGGAUCUCUAAACCCAACUCUCACCUGGAUGGAGCUGGGAGACAUUGUGGGGCUGGGGGGCCUGAGACAGAUACCCCAAUUCAACCUGCGUGUUCUUAACUUGGGGCUCUUUAUCAGUAGACUGUAGGAACUAAACUGUGCCACCACUGCUGGAAAGGUAGACACCCAUCUGUGGAGGAUCAGCAUUUGGACAAGCCAUUGGGGUUGCAGCCCAUGCCCCAGUGGUGUGGGGGCAAGGGGGAGUGUUCUGGUCAGAGCUCUCCAUGGGCCCAACCCCUUGUGGCUGCCUCCUGGCACGUGGGGGCCAGGUUCCCUCGGGGUGGGGCCCUAUCACAAACCUCUGUGUCCUCUGCCACCCUACGGGCCUUCUACACACAGUGAGGUGGGGCCCAUUGUCAGGCCCUUUGAAGGGAGAGAGGAACACUAUUAUUAGUCCUGGAGCCUGGCUAAUUAUAUACCCCAGGACAGAAGCUCAAGUAGGCCCUGGAAGUAUGUGGUGGUAUUGAAGAGAACGGGACGAGAAAAGGCCAGUCUGUGAAGGUAGCUGGGAACCCUGGCACCCAAAGGUGCUCUGCUUCAGGACCUCCUACAGCUCCAGGUGGGGGCUGAAGAGCUGAUCACAUGGGCCAUGAGGCCCGAGAAAGGAAGUGCAUGGGGAUGGUGCCCAGAGCCCAUGGAAGGACAGUGGAGAAGCAGGACAUGGAUGAUGAAAGGAGAAAGACAGCGGAGUCCAGGAAUGGAGCACGGAUGCUAUAAAACCCACUUACACGCCCCAGGACCCUCUGACAAGAGAAAAGCCAGAGUCUGUGGGGUUGUGAGUUCCCCGGGCAGGGGCCUCGCCCCCCCCCUGGGAAAGUACUGGGCGCAAGAAGAGCCGAAUGAAAAAAUAAAUGAACAAAUGCA